rnacentral:rRNA from 1 species
GAUGAACGCUGGCGGCGUGCCUAAUACAUGCAAGUCGAGCGAACAGACGAGGAGCUUGCUCCUUUGACGUUAGCGGCGGACGGGUGAGUAACACGUGGGUAACCUACCUAUAAGACUGGGAUAACUUCGGGAAACCGGAGCUAAUACCGGAUAAUAUUUCGAACCGCAUGGUUCGAUAGUGAAAGAUGGAUCUGCUAUCACUUAUAGAUGGACCUGCGCCGUAUUAGCUAGUUGGUAAGGUAACGGCUUACCAAGGCAACGAUACGUAGCCGACCUGAGAGGGUGAUCGGCCACACUGGAACUGAGACACGGUCCAGACUCCUACGGGAGGCAGCAGUAGGGAAUCUUCCGCAAUGGGCAAAAGCCUGACGGAGCAACGCCGCGUGAGUGAUGAAGGUCUUCGGAUCGUAAAACUCUGUUAUUAGGGAAGAACAAACGUGUAAGUAACUGUGCACGUCUUGACGGUACCUAAUCAGAAAGCCACGGCUAACUACGUGCCAGCAGCCGCAGUAA